rfam:Anopheles farauti strain FAR1 unplaced genomic scaffold supercont2.2, whole genome shotgun sequence.
CCUUCGAUAGCUCAGUUGGUAGAGCGGUGGACUGUAGAGGGUUGUUUGGAAGAAGAAUCUGACGAAAACAGUCAUCCGAAGGAUGGUCUUCAAAGCUGAUGUAGGAAUCCAUAGGUCACCGGUUCAAAUCCGGUUCGAAGGA